UACGUAGGGUGCAAGCGUUGUCCGGAAUUAUUGGGCGUAAAGAGCUUGUAGGCGGUUUGUCGCGUCUGCCGUGAAAUUUCGAGGCUCAACCUCGAACUUGCGGUGGUACGGGCAGACUAGAGUGUGGUAGGGGAGACUGGAAUUCCUGGUGUAGCGGUGAAAUGCGCAGAUAUCAGGAGGAACACCGAUGGCGAAGGCAGGUCUGCCUGGCACUGACUGACGCUGAGAAAGCGGAAAGCAUGGGGAGCGAACAGG
rnacentral:rRNA from 1 species